rnacentral:rRNA from 1 species
GUGGGGAAUAUUGGACAAUGGGCGAAAGCCUGAUCCAGCCAUGCCGCGUGUGUGAAGAAGGUCUUCGGAUUGUAAAGCACUUUAAGUUGGGAGGAAGGGCAGUAAGUUAAUACCUUGCUGUUUUGACGUUACCAACAGAAUAAGCACCGGCUAACUUCGUGCCAGCAGCCGCGGUAAUACGAAGGGUGCAAGCGUUAAUCGGAAUUACUGGGCGUAAAGCGCGCGUAGGUGGUUCAGCAAGUUGAAGGUGAAAUCCCCGGGCUCAACCUGGGAACUGCCUCCAAAACUACUGAGCUAGAGUACGGUAGAGGGUAGUUGAAUUUCCUGUGUAGCGGUGAAAUGCGUAGAUAUAGGAAGGAACACCAGUGGCGAAGGCGACUACCUGGACUGAUACUGACACUGAGGUGCGAAAGCGUGUGGAGCAAACAGGAUUAGAUACCCUAGUAGUCC